GGUACCCUGCUGUGUUCGUGAUGAAGCAAGAGGUUUUGAGCCAACACUUACCAAAUGGGUUCUGAUGUCCGCUGCAUGACGCGAUAGGUUUCGGCCAAGGCGGAGUGCACUGGUAAGAACCCGCCUGCAAAUGCAGGUUCAAAAUCACGCUGCACACGGCACGGCGGGGAGUUA
rnacentral:other from 1 species